CUUGGUCAUUUAGAGGAAGUAAAAGUCGUAACAAGGUUUCCGUAGGUGAACCUGCGGAAGGAUCAUUACAAUCGAUCCGCGGUUGCAAAACCGCGGUGGUGGUCGGCGGCCCCCCCGGGCCGCCGGCCGCCGCGUGUCGACACCCGUGCCUACCGUACCUUCGUUGCUUUGGCGGGGCGCCCUGCCCGGCCGGCGGCCCCUGGGCCGCCGCGCCCCCGCCAGAGAACCACAACUCGUGUCGUGUCAGUGUCGUCUGAGUACUAUGUAAUCGUGAAAACUUUCAACAACGGAUCUCUUGGUUCUGGCAUCGAUGAAGAACGCAGCGAAAUGCGAUAAGUAAUGUGAAUUGCAGAAUUCAGUGAAUCAUCGAAUCUUUGAACGCACAUUGCGCCCUUUGGCAUUCCGAAGGGCAUGCCUGUUCGAGCGUCAUUGCAACCUCUCAAGCUCGCGCUUGGUCUUGGGGCGCCCGGCACCGGGGCCCUCAAAGUCAGUGGCGGUGCCCGCCGGCGUCUGCGCGUAGUCACACUCCUCGCGCCUGACCCCGGCGGGUGGCUGGCCAGCAACCCCCCAUCGUACACAGGUUGACCUCGGAUCAGGUAGGGAUACCCGCUGAACUUAAGCAUAUCAAUAAGCGGAGGAAAUGUC
rnacentral:rRNA from 1 species